GCACAGAGGAAGUAGCUUCCACUUCCGAAAUGCAUGGUAGCAAACUGUUAGACAUUACUGACCCCAAAGCUGAAGGAGGAGAUAGAGGGGAAGCCUGCAGCAAGCAGAGAAAAACAGUCUGCGCAGAAUUUUUUGUUUGGCAAGCUAGGAUUUUUCACAUCCUUGACACUCUACAAACUCCUUUCUUGUAUCCAGCUUUUUUUUAGGCAAGCUGUAAACAAAGAAUACAAUAGGUACCCAUAAGACAGCAGAAGAGAGGAAAAAAAAAAAUAAGUAACCGGAGGGACUUACCCAGCUCUAGGCACAGUUUUACUUGAGGCAGUGUGUUCCAUCCCCCUAGUGUGCUAUUUAAAAAAAAAAAAAAUUCAGCACGCAUUUCAAAAGAGUACAAACACCGCACGAGAACUAAGACCUGUUAUACCUGUUAUCGGCUGUAGAAACACUCUGAGGGAGCAGAAAAGCACGUCCUAACAACAGGAAUGAAGGUAGCAAUUUACCGGACCACGCCAGCCAAAUUUAAAAUCUGCUACCACCCCCUCGAGUACUACCGCACCAAUGAAAGGAGAGACUGGCACUGCGCAUGCGCACCAUGUGCGCAUUCGCAUGGUGAUCAUCCCAAAAACAGAGGAAAGAAGAAGAAGAAGAAGAAGAAGAAGAGAGAAAAAGUCAUACAAGACAGCAUUUUAUGCCAAUGGAGCCAAAUAAAAUACAUAUUUUGACCUUUAA